GUUAACCAGUAGCUACUCUCAAUCAUUCAUAUACUUCUGUAGUAAACUCUGAAACUCCCUCCCUGCUUCUGUCAAGACAAUCGUCUUUGAAUAUUGGAUAACUCUUAUGAUUUUUAAGGAAACUGUCAAUCCAGUGCUGCGCUGACGGUAGCCACAAGCCCAGAGGCAGGGGUGGCGUGCAACCUGGCAAGCUUCAGACUCACCGCCGCCGCUGCAAUUGUUAUUAUUUUUUCCCAAUUAUUAUUAUUACCAUCA